rnacentral:rRNA from 1 species
AGAGUUUGAUCCUGGCUCAGAACGAACGCUGGCGGCAGGCUUAACACAUGCAAGUCGAACGCCCCGCAAGGGGGGUGGCAGACGGGUGAGUAACACGUGGGAACCUACCCAGGGGUACGGAAUAACUCGGGGAAACUCGUGCUAAUACCGUAUACGACCUAAGGGUGAAAGAUUCAUCGCCCCUGGAUGGGCCCGCGUUGGAUUAGCUAGUUGGUGGGGUAAAGGCCUACCAAGGCUACGAUCCAUAGCUGGUCUGAGAGGAUGAUCAGCCACACUGGGACUGAGACACGGCCCAGACUCCUACGGGAGGCAGCAGUGGGGAAUCUUGGACAAUGGGCGCAAGCCUGAUCCAGCCAUGCCGCGUGUGUGAUGAAGGCCUUAGGGUUGUAAAGCACUUUCGCCAGGGAAGAUAAUGACGGUACCUGGAUAAGAAGCCCCGGCUAACUCCGUGCCAGCAGCCGCGGUAAUAC